rnacentral:rRNA from 1 species
GACGAACGCUGGCGGCGUGCUUAACACAUGCAAGUCGAACGGAAAGGCCCUGCUUUCGUGGGGAGCUCGAGUGGCGAACGGGUGAGUAACACGUGAGUAACCUGCCCUUGACUUUGGGAUAACUUCAGGAAACUGGGGCUAAUACAUGAUAGGAGCUCCUGCUGCAUGGUGGGGGUCGGAAAGUUUCGGCGGAAGGGGAUGGACUCCGGGCUUAUCAGCUUGUUGGUGGGGUAGUGGCUUACCAAGGCAUUGGCGGGUAGUCGGCCUGAGAGGGUGGCCGGCGACAAUGGUACUGAGGUACGGCCCAGUCUCGAACGGGAGACAACGGGGGGGAGUAUUGCACAGUGGGCGGGAGCCUGAUGCGGCAACGCCGCGUGCGGGAUGACGUCCUUCGUGUUGGAAAGCGCAUUCGCCUGUGACGAAGCGUUAGUGACGUUAAUGGGUAAAGAAGCACCGGCUAACUUCGUG